ensembl:lncRNA novel transcript
GCGACCAAGGCGCCUGCGCGACCCCAGGUCCGGCCCAUCCCUCCAUUCCCUGUAACCGCCAGCCUCCGCCCCUCUUGACAACCACCCGCUACGCUUACCCUGUUACAAGGAACCCAGGCUGCAACCAGGAAAAACUGCCAUCAGAAAGUUUAUCUAAGCCGGAGCAAACUUGGCUGGACCGGCCCCUGACCCGCCUUGGCGCUGCCGCCCCUGUCUUCUGCGGUCCCCGGCCAGGCGAGGACCAGAGUUUUGUUCUCGGAGAUUCUUGCCUUUCUUGUUUUAGCACAAACGCGCACGCACCCCUUUCCCAUAACGAGCCCCUCCGCCCAACUACAGAUCCCGGGAUCUGUUGCAGGGGCUGGAAAGGCCCCACUCGAGAGGCCUGAGCUGGCUGCGGCUCUUGGUUCCGGGGCAGGUUCUCCAGGGUUGGAUACGCUCUGGACGCCUGGGCGGGUUGUUUUGCUUCGGCCUCGCUGGCCAGGGGCCCGCCCACCCCGCCUGGAACGCGGUUUGGAUCGGCGCUGGGAGCCCUCCGUAACCCCAGCUGAAGGCCGCGCAGGCAGGCGGGGACGCCGGAGCUGCGGGGCCGGUUCCCAGCCAGCAUCCAGCCUUUUCGGAAUCAGGCGGGUCCCUGGUGAUUCGCUGGGUUUUCCCACUUCCCACGGGGACCUCACCUUUGGGAAUUAAUUGCUGACAGUGUUAGAGUUACAAAGUAGCCAGUGUCACGGAGGGAACCUCAAAGAGACAAAGGGACACCUCGAAGGUGUCAGAGAGACGGUUGUUUUGGACAGAAACAGAACAGCGAAGCGGAAAGAAAACAGACCUUAUUUCUGUUCUGUUCCACUUCAGAUAGUAGCAGAGGAGACUUGGAUUUCAUUGGUGUUGGUUUUCGUGAUUCCUGCCUUCUAAAAUCCCAAGACUUAUUUAUCAUUUAUCAUCAGCUCAGAUCCCAGGAAAACAGUCCACUGCACUUCGGUUUCUGCUCCAAGUCACCCAUUAAAUAAAUAAUUGAACACCUGCUGGUGCCAGGCGCAGUUCUAAUGCUUGGGAUAUGUCGGUGAACAAAGCAAAGGUCUCCCUCACCUGGGGGAGCUGAAGGCCUGCGGGGAAGAAGUGGGAGACAGAGGGUAAACCAUGGCCAUCCCUAAGUAAAUUAUUUGGGGUGUUGGAAGAGGUCGGUGAUAGGGAAAACAAGAAAAAGAAUAUGGGGGCCCAGAGUGCUUGUGUCUGGAGCAGGUCACAGAAUUAAAUAGAUGGUGUGUGUCAGGCCUCUGAGCCCAAGCCAAGCCAUCGCAUCCCCUGUGACUUGCACGUAUACAUCCAGAUGGUCUGAAGUAACUGAAGAUCCACAAAAGAAGUAAACAUAGCCUUAACUGAUGACAUUCCACCAUUGUGAUUUGUUCCCGCCCCACCCUAACUAAUCAAUGUACUUUGUAAUCUCCCCCACCCUUAAGAAGGUUCUUUGUAAUUCUCCCCACCCUUGAGAAUGUACUUUGUGAGAUCCACCCCUGCCCACAAAACAUUGCUCUUAACUUCACCGCCUAUCUCAAAACCUAUAAGAACUAAUAAUAAUCCACCACUCUUUGCUGACUCUCUGUUUGGACUCAGCCCACCUGCACCCAGGUGAAAUAAACAGCCAUGUUGCUCA